AGUGAAGCGGCGACAGCUCAGAUUUGAAAUCUGGCUUCGGCCCGAGUUGUAAUUUGCAGAGGAUGCUUUUGGUGCGGUGCCUUCCGAGUUCCCUGGAACGGGACGCCACAAAGGGUGAGAGCCCCGUAUGGUCGGACACCAAUCCUGUGUAAAGCUCCUUCGACGAGUCGAGUAGUUUGGGAAUGCUGCUCUAAAUGGGAGGUAAAUCUCUUCUAAAGCUAAAUACCGGCCAGAGACCGAUAGCGCACAAGUAGAGUGAUCGAAAGAUGAAAAGCACCUUGAAAAGGGGGUUAAACAGUACGUGAAAUUGUUGAAAGGGAAGCACUUGUGACCAGACUUGGGCCGGGCGGCUCAUCAGGGGUUCUCCCCUGUGCAUUCCGCCCGGUACAGGCCAGCAUCGGUUCUUACCGGGGGAUAAGAACGGCAGGAACGUGGCUCCCUCUCGGGGGAGUGUUAUAGCCUGCCGUACGAUACCCUGGCGGGGACCGAGG
rnacentral:rRNA from 1 species